UGUAACGGGGCUAAACCAUGCACCGAAGCUGCGGCAGCGACGCUGAUGCGUUGUUGGGUAGGGGAGCGUUCUGUAAGCCUGCGAAGGUGGCCUGUGAGGGUUGCUGGAGGUAUCAGAAGUGCGAAUGCUGACAUAAGUAACGAUAAAGCGGGUGAAAAGCCCGCUCGCCGGAAGACCAAGGGUUCCUGUCCAACGUUAAUCGGGGCAGGGUGAGUCGACCCCUAAGGCGAGGCCGAAAGGCGUAGUCGAUGGGAAACGGGUUAAUAUUCCCGUACUUGGUGUUACUGCGAAGGGGGGACGGAGAAGGCUAUGUUGGCCGGGCGACGGUUGUCCCGGUUUAAGCGUGUAGGUGUGUGUUCCAGGUAAAUCCGGUUCACUUUAACACUGAGGCGUGACGACGAGGCACUACGGUGCUGAAGCAACAAAUGCCCUGCUUCCAGGAAAAGCCUCUAAGCAUCAGGUAACAUCAAAUCGUACCCCAAACCGACACAGGUGGUCAGGUAGAGAAUACCAAGGCGCUUGAGAGAACUCGGGUGAAGGAACUAGGCAAAAUGGUGCCGUAACUUCGGGAGAAGGCACGCUGACACGUAGGUGAAGUGAUUUACUCAUGGAGCUGAAGUCAGUCGAAGAUACCAGCUGGCUGCAACUGUUUAUUAAAAACACAGCACUGUGCAAACACGAAAGUGGACGUAUACGGUGUGACGCCUGCCCGGUGCCGGAAGGUUAAUUGAUGGGGUCAGCGCAAGCGAAGCUCCUGAUCGAAGCCCCGGUAAACGGCGGCCGUAACUAUAACGGUCCUAAGGUAGCGAAAUUCCUUGUCGGGUAAGUUCCGACCUGCACGAAUGGCGUAAUGAUGGCCAGGCUGUCUCCACCCGAGACUCAGUGAAAUUGAACUCGCUGUGAAGAUGCAGUGUACCCGCGGCAAGACGGAAAGACCCCGUGAACCUUUACUAUAGCUUGACACUGAACAUUGAGCCUUGAUGUGUAG
rnacentral:rRNA from 1 species